CGGCCGCGGCCUCAGCCUCCGCCCCCGACUCCUGAGCUCCUGCCCUAGGGCCGGCUGGGCUCCCGCCCGCGUGGGACAGACAGACGGAAAGCCAGCCCUGCGAGGGCGCGCGGACCGGGCGGAGGUGUUGUAGGAGGAGACGGAGGAGGGGGGCUGGGCUGGGGCUGGGGCCGCGCCGGCAAGAGAGACAUGCGAUUGGUGACCAAGCCGAGCGGACGGACAGCGCGCCCGAGAUGCAGGACUAUUUCCAGAAACCUGGCCUGGAGCCCUUUGAUCCUCUGUGAAUCAGAGUAGCUCACCAAGGCUGGCUUUAUCCCUGAGGAAGCCCUGGGUGAGCGAGAGGAUGCUGGCAGGGGGUAUGAGAAGCAUGCCCAGCCCCCUCCUGGCCUGCUGGCAGCCCAUCCUCCUGCUGGUCCUGGGCUCUGUGCUGUCAGGCUCCGCCACCGGCUGCCCGCCCCGCUGCGAGUGCUCAGCGCAGGACCGAGCAGUGCUCUGUCACCGCAAGCGCUUUGUGGCGGUGCCCGAGGGCAUCCCCACCGAGACUCGCCUGCUGGACCUGGGCAAAAACCGCAUCAAGACACUCAACCAGGACGAGUUUGCCAGUUUCCCACACCUGGAGGAGCUAGAACUCAAUGAGAACAUUGUGAGCGCUGUGGAGCCGGGCGCCUUCAACAACCUCUUCAACCUGAGGACGCUGGGGCUUCGCAGCAACCGCCUGAAGCUCAUCCCGCUGGGCGUCUUCACCGGCCUCAGCAACUUGACCAAGCUGGACAUCAGCGAGAACAAGAUCGUCAUCCUGCUAGACUACAUGUUCCAAGACCUAUACAACCUCAAGUCGCUGGAGGUCGGCGACAAUGACCUCGUCUACAUCUCCCAUCGAGCCUUCAGCGGCCUCAACAGCCUGGAACAGCUGACGCUGGAGAAAUGCAAUCU
rnacentral:lncRNA from 1 species